AUACGGAGGAUCCGAGCGUUAUCCGGAUUUAUUGGGUUUAAAGGGAGCGUAGGUGGGAGAUUAAGUCGGCGGUGAAAUUUUGCAGCUCAACUGUAAAAGUGCCUUCGAUACUGGUUUCCUUGAGUGUGGAUGAAGUAGGCGGAAUUUGUGGUGUAGCGGUGAAAUGCUUAGAUAUCACGAGGAACUCCGAUUGCGCAGGCAGCUUACUAAACCACUACUGACGCUCAGGCACGAAGGCGUGGGGAUCAAACAGGAUUAGAUACCCUGGUAGUCCACGCAGUAAACGAUGAUUACUGGCUGUUUGCGAUACAAUGUAAGCGGCUGAGCGAAAGCGUUAAGUAAUCCACCUGGGGAGUACGUUCGCGAGAAUGAAACUCAAAGGAAUUGGCGGGG
rnacentral:rRNA from 1 species